GUUACAGAGUAUUAUAGCUUUCUUAGUUGUCUUGGACUUUCUCAGCAUGUGGAUUUUGGCAGCAUUCCACCUUUUUGCGUUGGCUGUAAAUGGACAUGAAUGGUAUGAAGCGUUCUGGCAAGAACACUUUGGUUGGCCUGCUGGCUGAAGAUGCCCUGCUGGCUGGCAGAAAUUUGAAACCAAAUGUUUUAAGUUUUUCAGUGACUUGAAAACAUGGGCUGAGGCAGAGAAACAAUGUGUUGACCUUGGAGGAAACCUUGCGUCUGACCAUAGUCGUGCCACUCAAUUUCCUGAAGACCUUUGUGAGAAAACGUGCUAAUGGUGUCCCCCGACCCUGGAUUGGUGCUCAUGAUGCAACUCUAGCUUACUUUUCCUCUUGAAUAUCAGUUCAACCAGUGUCUGGUUAAGAGUAUUGUUACAA